UUAUAACGUAAUCCCGUCCGGUGACGGCGUUAUAAACGAGAAAAAAUUUCCGGACUAAGCCUGUAGCGGUCUUACCAAAACAUUUUCGGACGCGGGUUCAAUUCCCGCCACCUCCAUUU
rnacentral:tmRNA from 1 species